AGAGGAACUUCCGGCUCACGUAGGAGGCUCUUCCGGCGCCCACACAGGAAGUCCCGCCUCUGGGCAUCGGGCCACGUGUUUUUUUGGCUGUAAAAUGUGGACAUCCCAGAAGAACGCCUUCAGCAGCUUUGACACUGUCUACAGUCUUGAUGUGAUCCCACCUGUAUUCUAACAUCACCUAUUACAAGCUGUAAAAUGAGGACUACGAGUCAAGAACAAGUCCCAGCUUAUCUAAAUUAUACUAAAUAAAUCACAGAAUGUUUUC